rnacentral:lncRNA from 1 species
UGGACCCAGAGACCUCCAGGCACUGAGGACUGCGUCUCCCGGAAGUAUUUCCCUGAGAAAUUGCAGAGGACCUCAGUCCUGCAACUCACACAGAGGCUGUUCUUCGUGGCCGGAACCGGACCCCACGCCCUCUGGGGCACAUCCCUGAGUGCGAGCACUCUUCUCUCGCCCUCCUCCCACCCAGGCACCGUCCCAACUGGGCACUGCCUUGCUAUGCCCCACAUCUCCCACAAGGGGGAGCCGCCGGAGGGCAGCUGGGGCUGCGGAAUUUUGGAAGCGCAGAAGUUUUCUCCUCCUGUCCUGUAACUGGUUUUCACUCACUCAACUGAGAGAUUUCUUUGUUGCAAUGAUGGGGUCUAAGAUAACACUUCUGGAGGCUGCAGGCGAGAAACACAGCUGAUAUCAUCUUUUAUUGUGUGUUGUUAUUUGCCUAGCAUUAUAAAUUAAGGAGGAAUAGUAACAAAGAGCUUGAAGACAUGCACAGCUCACAGGCCCCGGGUGGAGGCUGGCGACAUCAGACAGACAGAACCAAGACAUCUGAGGGGCAACCAGGAGGUGCGUGUGGCUGCAGAGCACACAGACUUGUCUUUGGACAAAAUUGAGAAGAACUCAUAAACUUGGCUUCCUCGCUUCUGCUCCUCAGACGCGCGUGGAUGAUUUGAAGAUAUUAGCCUAACAAGAUGGAAGCAGGUUUAAAAUUUUACAUAAGAAGUUACCUUUUUCAGUUGUGUUGAUGUUCCUUUCAGCUGGUCCUAUAGUACCCCUCCUCAGGAAUGUCUCCCCAGUGCAAGGACAAAGACUGAAGAGACUGCUAUAUUGAUGGACUCUCAAGCCAACUAUGAAGUUGAAACAAAGAAAGUGAUCACCUGAAGACACCUCCUCUGCUAAGAAACACCCCCAAAUUGUGCAGCUUCUGCCACUAGAACUCUCAGAACAAGAGACAAUCUUUUCAAGAAACAGAAAAACUCAAUAAUGACAUCUAGAUUUUCAUGAGCCAAGAACUUUCCCUUCCUCAUGUGUAUUCCUCUGUUUGUACUUAAAUUCAUGUGACAUUCAUUUUUUUCCUAGUAUGGAUAUGCUUAUUAAUGCACUUGUUUCAAAAUCCCAAAUUGCACAAAUGUGUUAAUAUUUUAAGAAACAAAAUGAAUCCUACAAGGAGAAUGAUUUUUAGCCACACAUAGGGUUGGAUCUUGAGAGUGACCUACAGAAUAAAAGUACUUUUAAAAUAAAGUAGUCAGAGGCUAUUCAAAGGGUAAAAUAAUCAUAGUACCACAUUGGUCCACUUGACACUAACCAAUCGAUCAUUUUUUUUUAAUCAAGAAAGCUAGAUUCUAUCAGAUAAAAUCACUGCUUCUAAAGAGUUUAAAUCUAGUUAGAAAAAGUUAUAGAAAUGUUUGCAAAGAUAAGUAACAGAUAGAGUCAGUAGAGGAUAAGAUCAAAAACAAAACCAAGCAAAAGAUGAGUUCAGGGGAGUUUGCCAUCAAGUUGGCAAAACUGACUUACUUAGGGAAGAAAGUUAUAAAACAGGAAAAUAUGAGAUGAACCUUGAGUGAUGUGGAAGAUUUAGAUAAAUGGAAAGGAAGGAGAAAAUGGAGUUCUUUAGGUGGUUGUAAUUGGAGGAGGAAAUGAAUACACACAUCUUGUUGACUUAAACCCAGACAUUCAGCAGCUCUCUAUACAUAUCUGGAAAAGACUGCACAGUCACCUCCUGUCUCUCACCCCAGGUAUUACUUAGAAUUAUUAUCAUAUUUCCCUUCCUUUAAAGUAAGUAAGGGUGAUUGGUGACAAUAUGGAGAACUAUGAUUUUUCCAUUAACCUAAUAAUAAUUGGUAUUUAUUGAGUUCUGUUAAGCAUUUUACAUAUUAACUCACUUAAGCCUUUCAACAGCCUUGCAAAAUAGGUAUUAUUAUCCCCAUUUUACAGGCAAGAAAACUGAGGUUUAAGUAACUUGCCGAAGUGCCAUAUACAGGGCUCACAUUCAGUAUUGCAGUUGCAAAGCUCAUGAUCUAUAGUGCCAAGUUGCAAUAUUGUAGUCAAUGUCACAAUUAUUACCCCUUUUUAUAUUCCUUGAUAUUUUUCCAUGGCAAACAAUUAGCUAUUUCAUUUAAUAAUCACCUAAAACUUUUCAGUCUUCUGAUUAAAAUUACGCUGGAGUGAUAGAAUGUAUUUUCAUGAUAGAAAUUGGGAAAAAAAAUGGGGAAUGAAGUUUAUCAGCAUUUCAGACUUGUUUUUUUUUUUUUUUUUUGCAAGACUUUGAUGAGAUUGUUCACUUUUGUCUAUGUAAAAUCCCAAAUCCUUGAGAAUAAAAAAGGGGGAGGUUUAAGUCACUUGUUGCAAUGCCCUUUUUAAUAGAGGCAAUAAAUCUAAAGGCCAUAAAUUUAGAGUGACUUACAGAAGAUCGAACUUUGGAGUGUGGCAGAGUAAGGGAUGGAAACCGGGCCCUCCAGUUCACUAUCAGUAGCUUUUGCACUGGUCUGCCCUUCCUAAAUUAAGUAUGCACUUCAAUUUGAUGAGUGGAAACAGUCUAUCUGGGCAGUAACCAGGGAGCUUUGUGCCUAGUAGAUUGCUUCUGUUCUGCACUUCUUUGGUUUCCCACCUCAAUGUAAAAAAUAGCUAGCAAUGAAGUCCAGAAGUUGUCAAUGGUUCAUCCCCAGAAGAAUGCAUAAUGUCCAAAGUUGUAUGUGUAUGAUGUCUUCAAUGGUAUUAAGUUAUUUCAAAUUCUUAGUUCACCUACAUAAAUCAUUUCUAACAAGCAUCUUCUUAACCAACUUUAUGCACAGUGUAUGUUUGUAAGUGCUUCUGCACGAAUGUUUAUACAUGACUGUUUCCAUAGUACUUAUGUUUUUAAAAAUAUUCAGUCAUUUCCUACUAUAAUCCUCAUGUAUCCAUGUAACUGACUCAAAAAUACUUCAGCCACAGAAAGCUAAAACUGAGCAAAUCUCAUUCUUCUUUUCCAUCCCCUUUGCAUGUGGCUGGCAUUUAGUAAUGAUUAAUAAUAUGGCCAGCUGAAUAACAGAGGUUUGAGACACAAUUCUUUCUCAAAGGAGUCAGCUAAGCUGGGUCUACUUAUGGACAAACAUCUAAAUGUGUGGAAGUAUCUGAUAUUUGACAAUGGUAAAUUUCCACUUAGCUAGCUAGCAUUGUCAGACUUCAAUCUCCUCAUGGCUCUGGCCGUCCUGUUUUAAGCAUGAUAAUUGUUGGCCACAUCUCACAUAGUUCUCAUUGAGUGAGUUCAUAAAUAAACAGGGUUUUUUUUUUUUUUUAAAGAGCAGCCAAGCACAAAGUGUGACUUUGUUGACAUUUUAUGUGACUUUGUCAUAUGUUCCUAACCCCCAAUAAAAGCAAUGUUGCAUCAACUGUGAA